rnacentral:misc_RNA from 1 species
GAUCCCUCUUUUUGGCUUCCUCAAACCAUCGCUCAGCAGCUUCUAUAUUGCCCACUUUGGCAAAUCCUCCAAUAAGAAUGCUGUAAGUUACAAGACUCAAUUCAAUUCCUUCAUCUUUCAUUUUCCUCACACAACAUAGUGCUUCUUCCAUGUCUCUACCCACUGCAUAAGCAUGAACAAGGUUGGUAUAUACAUGAGAGGUUGGUUCUAUUCCUCGAGCACACAUCUUCUCAAAGGUUUCACGUGCACGAUGCAUGUCACCCCUCCUUGCAUAGUAGUUCACCAUCAAGCCAAAUUCUUUCCUGGAUGGAUUUUAAGGGACUACAGCACUGCAAGCAGAUUACUUCAGUAUUCCAGUAAGCAUAACACCUUCUUGAUUCUCUCAAAAGCCCGAACAACCGCCUGCCAAUUCUCCGGCUGUAUUUCCAGAACCUUCUUGAAAUCUCUCCUGGGCCCCUCCUUCGCCUCAUGCCACGUGUUCCUCUCCUCUAUUUUCUCUUUCAAUCUCCUCCCAUCAUCCAAUUUCACAGUCAACACCCUUCCAUGAAAUUCAAC